CACUGGGGCUCAGCCUGGGCAGGGCGUGCGAGCCCAGCUCAUUCCGAGAGCAGCUACACUUGGAAGCUGCUGUUUUUCUUUCGUUGGGCCAAGUCCAUCCUUAUCAGAGACAUCAGAGACGGAGUGAAGUGGGUUUCCCACGCCUGGGACCGUGAGCAAACUGGGGAAGGAUUACGGGGCCAGCCGUGCAGUACACACGACCCAAUUGCCUUUAGAAACCUCCAGUCUGAUGGUGCAGAGGGGAAAGCCGGCGUCACCGAGCUUGUAAGUCUGCAGUACCACCGGCCAGUACAGGGAUUGGCCCAACUCUAAAUCAAAAUUGAUCUUCUGGGGAGAGAGGCCAUGCAGAAUUUUGAAGGUGAGAGGAGGUGUUUGAAAUCUCACAAGCUGGUGUGGGUUCCUGUAGCUGCACAAAGUAUCAGGGACUGGAAAUAGAACGUUAGGGGUCGUGUUUACAAAAUGACAUAAAUAUUUUUAAGUUAAUUUCUUGAUUAGAAAGAAAACUCUCAACCCCCCGGUUCACUCCCCAAAUGCCCACAACAGUCAGGACUGGGCCAGGCCAAAGCCAGGAGGCAGGAAGGCCAUGUGGGUCUCCCACCCAGGAGGAAGGCCGUGUGGGUCUCCCACCCAGGAGGAGGAAGGCCGUGUGGGUCUCCCACCCAGGAGGAGGAAGCAGCACUGAGCCAUUGCCGCCGCCUCCUGGUGAGCGUUAGCAGGAAACUGGGACAGGAGCAGGGCUGGUGCCCACACCCAGGGACUCUGGUCUGGGACACAGACAUCUCCAGUGAGGGCUUGAUUGCUAUGCCAAUCACCCAUCCUCCCUUUUUAAAAAUGUAUUUUAUUUACUUAAGAGGUAGAGAAUGAGAGAGAGAGAGAGAGAGAGAGAGAAAGAAGAGAGAAAAUGCAAUGUUUAGAUUCUGCGUAAUCAAGCACUCUGCACACAAUGGUUAAUACUGCCAACUUGUCACAUGAUAGGCUCUAUCUAAUUGACUAAUUCAUUUCAUCUUCCCUUGGUCUCAGGAGGGAAGUACUUUAAAGAGAGAGAGAGAGAGAGAGAGAGAGAGAGAGAGAGAGAGAGAGAGAGAGAGAGAUUAUUGGGGCCAGCCCUGUGGCACAGCAGGUUAAAGCCCUGGCCUGAAGCACUAGCAUCCCAUAUGAGCUUGAGUUCUAGUCCUAGCUGCUCCUCUUCUGAUCCAGCUCUCUGCUAUGGCCUGGGAAAGCAGUAGAAGAUGGUCCAAGUCCUUGGGCCCCUGUAGCUACGUGAGAGACCUGGAAGAAGCCCCCGAUUCCUGACUUUGGAUUGACUCAGCUCCAGCCAUUGCAGCCAUUUGGGGAGUGAACCAGCGGAUGGAAGACCUCUCUCUCUGUCUCUACCUAUAUCUGUAAUUCUUUCAAAUAAAUAAAGACAAAUCUUUCAAAAACUAUUAUUUAUUUGAAAGGCAGAGUGAGAGAUAUCUUCCAUCCGCUGGUUCAUUCCUCAAAUGCUCACAACAGUCAGG